rnacentral:lncRNA from 1 species
AGGGUCACACCCAUGGCAUAUGCAAGGUCCCAGGCUAGGGGGUUGAAUCAGAGCUACAGUUGCUGGCCUACACCACAGCCACAGCAACUCAGGAUCCAAGCCGCGUCUGCAACCUACACCACAGAUCACGGCAAUGCCAGAUCCUUAACCCACUGAGCAAGGCCAGGAAUCGAAUCUGCAUCCUCAUGGAUAAUAGUCAGAUUCAUUUCUACUGCAUCACAACAAGAACUCCCUUGAGGCAUUUUUAAAUAAAUCAUUGUGUGGAUACAAAAUUCCUGAGAAAGAUGGGUUCCCCUGAUUUCCCCAAGGAGAAGUCUGUCCCUCAAAGGGGCAAGUGAUGAACACUUGGUCUGACAUUUACCAAUUUGUACCAGAGUGUGGCCUAGGGCCAGACACUCCAGGAAGCCCCCUUUAAAGCUUGAUACACUGUCCCUCCAUCUGUCCCUCCGCCCAUCUGUCCAUCUGUAUGUCCAUCCAGCUAACAACCAUUCCCAUUCGGACAAGGCUGUGUGCAGGAGACCCAAUCUCUAACAUCUGGAAGCAUCAAGCAUCAGGGAAGCAUAGAGUGAAUAGCAAAUUGUUCCGAGAGUGAGGAGUAUGACAGGAGAGUAGAACCAGGGGCCUGACCACACCUCAGGGUCCUGCUUUUAGGAAACACGACUGCUCCACGUGUGGGUCUCUCAAGAGUGUCACAGUCAAAGGGGGACAACAGCUGGAAGGAGGAGGCUGCCCGGGCGCCCCGAACAGAAGGCAGGCUUUGUGCCGGCUCAGAGUGGAAACUCUGACUGGGGCAGUGCAGGCUUUCAGAUGGAUUUCCUAUCAUUUAUCUUCUUAUCAAAAGGUUUAAUCACUUCCCACUCUUCUGAGUGUAUGGGAAUAAUGAGCUUAUUCUACCCCUACCAAUACAAUGCACAAUAGAAACGGUUCAGAGACUAUUCGCCCUUCUAAAAUGAAUGUUUUUAUUGUAUGCACAUCAUUAAAAGCACAGUAAAAGGCGUGUUUAAAGAAGAAAAAUAAAUCUCAGGAAUCCCGUGCACAACUAUUGCAUAUUGCCUGCUGUUCUUUGGAAAGUUGAAUUUUAUGUGAAAAUUAGUUGUCAUGUCAUUUCCCCCCAAAGCUGAAUAUAUUCUGACAUGGAAGGGACCUGUGGCUUUUGGAGAAGAAAACACGCUCCUUCAGGAGUGUUGGCUUUCCUGUCCAGAAUCAAAAAGUACUUAGAAACUGAAAACCAAUCCUGAUGGUUUCUGGGCAGAGUUGGGUUACUUAAGUCUUGUUCUGCAAACAGUUAAAAAAUCUCAGUACAUUCCUGGACGUCCAGGUCUAUAUCAUAUACCUUGAUGCCUCAAUUAGCUCACCCCCUAAACAAAGCCCCUUUCUGUGAAGUCAGACAGAAUAAAUAACAAAAGCCACACACAUGGAGCCCAAGACACUCUGAGAGGCAGUGGCUGCCAGGACUCCUUUGUCAGGCCCUGGGCACAUUGGUCAAGUCUUCAAAGUGAUUCUGGCUUCCCCAAACUCCUUUUUUUGUCCUCUCUCCCAGGCCAAAGUCAGAGGCCCCAUCCUCUCUCCACCAUCAAUGGGAAGAGGUCUUUGCAAUGCAUCAGUCCCUUUGUCCUGAAUUCAUCACUGACUGAUACUGUCACCUCAGCUGUUUAAUCUUGUUCUUUAUUUUUUGUCUUUUUAGGGCAGUACCUGUGGCAUGUGGAAGUUCCAAGGCUAGGAGUCUAAUUGGAGCUAUAGAUGCGGCCUUCACCACAGCCACAGCAAUGUGGGAUCUGAGGUGCAGUUGUGACGUACACCACAGCUCACAGCAAUGCUGGAUCCUUACACCACUGAGCAAGGCCAGGGUUCGAACCCACAUCUUCAUGGAUACUAGUCAGAUUCAUUUCCAGUGAGCCACAAUGGGAACUCCAAUCUUUUCUCUAAUUGUAUCACCAAGGUGGAUUUUAGGCACUGGCAAGUGGGUGAAGAGCUCUUGGGUAGAGGGAUCUAGAGGGCCCCUUUGACCCCAAUAGCCUUGCUACUCAAAAGGUGGUUCUGGACCAGCAGCAUCUGCAUCCCCAGGGAGCUUGUUGGGAUGCAGAAGCUCAGGCCCCAGCCACGGUGCUGGAUCAGAAUCUGCGCUGUAACACCCACUGGUAUUGCUGAUGGCGAUGAUCAGGGACCACACUUUGAGAAUCACUGCCCCAGAACUUCUCAGGGAAACUACACACCCAGAGCAUCCCCUAGAGGGGUUUUCCAGCGAGGGUAGAAGAAGCAGUUAAUGAGUUUUCAUUUCCUUGCUGGCAGAGGCGAACAACCAGCAGGGCAACACACUUGGGGUGGAAAACUGACUUCCCAUUCAUCUCUACCAGUUUGGCCCAGGUCCAGCCUACCCUGAACCCCACCUCCCCUCCCCUCAUGACUGCUCAGGCCGGCCCCACCACCUACAGGAUUUCCAGCUUAAAUUGUCAGGCACGUGGGAGAGGGGCCUCAGUUAUCACAGCAUAAUCACAGCAAAUCCAAACCAGGUGAUACAAAAUAGUACAGAUGUGACAUCUCAUGUUAUACACAGAACUGGAAUUAAUAGGAAUCCUCCAAAAGAGAUCCACUUCAAGACCAGCAGAGGUCCUGGGGAGCAGUUUGUAUUUUUCACACAUGUCAGGCCACAGAAAUGCCUGCCAUCCUUUUUCAAGAGCUGUAAUCUGUGAACCUUCUUAUUGUUUAUAUAUAUCAGAGAGGCCAUUAGUAUCCUGAUGACUGUUGUGUUACUAUUGAUCAUUACAGAUAUAAUCUAUUAUCUCUUUCUUACUUUUUAGGGCUUCCCCCAUGGCAUAUGGAAAUUCACAGGCUAGGGCUUGAAUCAGAGCUACAUCUGUCAGCCUACAUCACAGCCAGAGCAACAUGGGAUCUGAGUUACGUCUGCAACCUACACCACAGCUCACAGCAAUGCCAGAUCCUUAACCCACUGAUCAAGGCCAGGAAUAGAACCAACAUCCUUAUGGAUAAUACCUGGAUUUGUUUCCGCUGCACCACGGAAACUCUCUAUUGUCUUUUAAAAAUGUAUUAUGCAGUAUCACAGAGAGACUCCUGAAUGGGGAUGCAUGUGCUAAGGCUUAAAAGGAGGCCCCCAAAUCAAAAUCUUGGCAAGAGCAGUUAGACGUGGUAAAAUGCCAUGAUGAAAGUCGUCCAUACACGCUGACAUGCUGUUCACAUGGGAAAAGCCUCUGCUAAACAUUAAAGAUAGUGCUGGGGGAAAAGGCAGCUUUAAAGCAAAAGGAUAACACAGUAAUUACAUAUUUAUGCUCUCCUGGAAUACAGCCACCUGACUAUAUUUACCACUAUGGGAAAUUUUGCCUUGAAUUAUGGAAGAUCUUCAAAAAAGCAUCCGUUGCAUAAAAUGUGACCAUAACAUAUAUGAGAAUAUUUUA